GGCAAAGUUGUUUUAGCGAUCUGGUUGCAACUAAGGCAAACGUUUGUCAUCCAAAUAUUGCUCUCUCCUUGGCGAUACCUUGUUGGUAGAAGUAGAAUUUAAAAUAUAUUAUUGCCAUUUGCCAGCUGACCUGUGACACAGCAGCAGUGUAUUACAUUUUCAAUGAGCAGUCUGUCUGGAGCUGCUAGUGGGAGAAACUGCUUCCUGGUUUCUAGGUUCUUUGCUCUGGGGUAGUUUAAGAUAAAUAUGGUAUCUGCCUCUACAUCAGUAUUAAGGUAAGUGCCAUUCCAGUAC
rnacentral:lncRNA from 1 species